rnacentral:rRNA from 1 species
GAUGAACGCUGGCGGCGUGCCUAAUACAUGCAAGUCGAGCGAAUGGAUUAAGAGCUUGCUCUUAUGAAGUUAGCGGCGGACGGGUGAGUAACACGUGGGUAACCUGCCCAUAAGACUGGGAUAACUCCGGGAAACCGGGGCUAAUACCGGAUAACAUUUUGAACCACAUGGUUCGAAAUUGAAAGGCGGCUUCGGCUGUCACUUAUGGAUGUACCAGCGUCGAAUUAGCUAGUUGGUGUGGUAACGGCUCACCAAGGCAACGAUGCGUAGCCGACCUGACAGGGUGAUCGGCCACACUGGGACUGAGACACGGCCCAGACUCCUACGGGAGGCAGCAGUAGGGAAUCUUCCGCAAUCGACGAAAGUCUGACGGAGCAACGCCGCGUGAGUGAUGAAGGCUUUCGGGUCGUAAAACUCUGUUGUUAGGGAAGAACAAGUGCUAGUUGAAUAAGCUGGCACCUUGACGGUACCUAACCAGAAAGCCACGGCUAACUACGUGCCAGCCGCCGCGGUAA